UGGGGAAUAUUGCACAAUGGGCGGAAGCCUGAUGCAGCAACGCCGCGUGCGGGAUGGAGGCCUUCGGGUUGUAAACCGCUUUCACUGCCGACGAAUGUGACGGUAGGCGGAGAAGAAGCACCGGCUAACUACGUGCCAGCAGCCGCGGUGAUACGUAGGGUGCGAGCGUUGUCCGGAUUUAUUGGGCGUAAAGAGCUCGUAGGUGGUUUGUUGCGUCGGAAGUGAAAACCUGCCGCUUAACGGUGGGCUUGCUUUCGAUACGGGCAG
rnacentral:rRNA from 1 species